UGAACGCUGGCGGCGUGCCUAAUACAUGCAAGUCGCGCGAACAGACGAGAGUGCUUGCACUCUCUGACGUUAGCGGCGGACGGGUGAGUAACACGUGGGUAACCUACCUAUAAGACUGGGAUAACUUCGGGAAACCGGAGCUAAUACCGGAUAAUAUUUAGCUUCGCAUGAAGCAAUAGUGAAAGACGGUUCUGCUGUCACUUAUAGAUGGACCCGCGGUGUAUUAGCUAGUUGGUGAGGUAACGGCUCACCAAGGCAACGAUACAUAGCCGACCUGAGAGGGUGAUCGGCCACACUGGGACUGAGACACGGCCCAGACUCCUACGGGAGGCAGCAGUAGGGAAUCUUCCGCAAUGGACGAAAGUCUGACGGAGCAAUGCCGCGUGAGUGAAGAAGGUUUUCGGAUCGUAAAACUCUGUUGUAAGGGAAGAACAAGUACGUUAGUAACUGAACGUACCUUGACGGUACCUUACCAGAAAGCCACGGCUAACUACGUG
rnacentral:rRNA from 1 species